rnacentral:rRNA from 1 species
UCAAAGGAAUGACGGGGGCCCGCACAACGCGGAGCAUCGGAUUAAUUCGAUGCAACGCGAAGAACCUUACCAAGGCUUGACAUGAACCGGAAAUACCUGGAAACAGGUGCCCCGCUUGCGGUCGGUUUACAGGUGGUGCAUGGUUGUCGUCAGCUCGUGUCGUGAGAUGUUGGGUUAAGUCCCGCAACGAGCGCAACCCUCGUUCUAUGUUGCCAGCACGUUAUGGUGGGGACUCAUAGGAGACUGCCGGGGUCAACUCGGAGGAAGGUGAGGACGACGUCAAAUCAUCAUGCCCCUUAUGUCUUGGGCUUCACGCAUGCUACAAUGGCCGGUACAAUGGGUUGCGAUACUGUGAGGUGGAGCUAAUCCCAAAAAGCCGGUCUCAGUUCGGAUUGGGGUCUGCAACUCGACCCCAUGAAGUCGGAGUCGCUAGUAAUCGCAGAUCAGCAACGCUGCGGUGAAUACGUUCCCGGGCCUUGUACACACCGCCCGUCAAGUCACGAAAGUUGGUAACACCCGAAGCCGGUGGCCUAACCCCCUUGUGGGGAGGGAGCUGUCGAAGGUGGGACUGGCGAUUGGGACUAAGUCGUAACAAGGUAGCCGUACCGGAAGGUGCGGCUGGAUCACCU